UAUGCAGGGUGCAUAAGGAUU
rnacentral:miRNA from 1 species